rnacentral:lncRNA from 1 species
UUUUGAGUCAAUCUUAUGAGUACUCUGUCAUUGUCCUGUAUAAACAAUAUUACAGAUAAAAUAAGAUGAGAUGGAACUUUUUUCAAUCCCAAAGGACAUUUUCAUGCCAAAUGAUUAGUUUAUUAUAGUGUGAAUGGAGUAAAUGCCAAUAAUAGUUAGAGUAAUGUGCAUGUGUGGCAUACAGGGGGUGAGAGAAAUUGUUCAUGAUGCUCAGCAUCCUCCUCUCUCACAGCGAACUGGAGUUCCACUCCUAGGACAGGAGCAGCUUUCCUGAUGAGUUUAUUGAGUCUGUUAGCAUCAGCUUUCAGAACAGGACGCUGACCAUAAAGUAUGUAAAGUCAUUGUUGUGGAAAAAACCCUGACAGGGUGAUGCAAGACCCUGACACCAAGUGGCUGGAUAUGGUCCUUUAUACACUAAGAACAGCAGUGAUAGCAAUGGUCUGUUACAGAGAAAUAAAAUAAUAUUUUAAUUAACUGAACAAUAUGAUAAUAUUCUGAGUUAUAAUUACAGUCACAAGGAAUUAAAUACAGUAUAGAUUUGCUGAAAUUGAAUAGAUCCAGAAGACUCACAAAUUUCCUGUAAUCUAAAGUGAACACAAAUCUUGUUGAGAUUUGACAACUUGUUUAACUGCACAGGUUGGAACCAGGAUCCACAUGUGAAUGAGGAGCUAAUCACACUGCACCUCACACCUUGUGACCCACUGGAAGGGCCAAGCAACGCGAACAUGGAGGGACAAGCAGAGCAGACCGACAUGGAGGGACAGGCAGAGCAGACCGACAUGGAGGGACAAGCAGAGCAGACCGACAUGGAGGGACAGGCAGAGCAGACCGACAUGGAGGGACAGGCAGAGCAGACCGACAUGGAGGGACAGGCAAAGCAGACCGACAUGGAGGGACAGGCAGAGCAGACCGACAUGAGUAAAAAGUCAGUGGCAACAAGGCAUAUGCCAGAGAGGAAGAAGCUACAAAAAACCAGGGCGAAGACAGCCAGGGCAGCGCCCUCAAAGAUGGUCAGGGAAGCCGGUGCUUCGCUUGGUGGAGAAGAGGGGGAAAAGGGAACUUGUGCCACUCAUAGCUCAUCAUGUCAAAAGGGGCUCAUGUGUUAUCAGUGAUGAGUGGCGAGCCUGUCGAAAUGCUCUGCCGCAGCUGGAAUACAGGCAUUUAACAGUAAAUCACAGGCCACUCUAUGACAUGAGACUGAAAUACAGGUAGACUAACAGGCAGUGGGGAGACUGACAGGGGGGCAGUGAGAGACUAAAAGGGGGGAGACAGUGUGGAAACUGACAGGGGUAGACUGACAUACAGGGUGAUUGACAGAUUGGGUAGACUGACUGAGCGGGAAGACGGCAGCCUGAUAUGGCUCUGGAGCAGUACCACAUACAUACACACACUGUGCUGCUAUGUUCAUGCCCCCUCACCAUAUUGUCAUGUUACAAAAUAAGAGAUGUUCAUGCUUGUUCAAAGCUCUCCUCUGUGCGAGUUGAGAUUCUAUCUGUGAUAAUCUGUUUUAUUCUGUGUUAAAUAAAAUUUGUAAAAUUCUUUGUACGUGAUUGCUUCAACUACUUUUCAACUAAUAGUGGUUAAGUGAUGCUUAUGUGUUACUGAAGGAAUACCUGUGUUACACUUUACAAUAAGCAGGGUUCGUACACAUUUUUCAAGGUCAAAUUCAAGCACUUUUCAAGCACUUUUAAGGGUCAUUUUCAAAUUUUUCCAGCACCUUAUCGCUGGGGUAAAAUACAUAUCUACAGGAAUAUAUACACUAUUUUUUUUUUCACUUUUUAUCACAAUUAUGUACAUCUAAAAUUAUGUUUUAUAAUAACAAAAAGUUUAGAAAUUAAAGGAGUCAUCACCCGGAAAUCGCAAUUUCUCUCGUUAAAUCAUGCAUAUUGGUGUUGGACCUCUGUUCAAACUUGCCUGAAAAGCUGGAGUCUGAAAGUGGCUUAUUUUUUUCGCUUUGGCUCUUUUUCCGAACAGGAAUAGCGCACAGUAGUGCGCGUUCCUAAAGCACGAGAUUUUGACUCUGCUCCUGUGGUGGCGUUACCACAGGAAGCUACUUGCAUAUGCAUCGGCUCACAGCCAUCCUCAGCCAGAGUGAGCACGCCGAAUCUGCUUAUUUCUCUGUCAUUUUCACGCCAUACAUCGUCACCGCCAGCAUUAAAACUCAGGUCUUACAUGUAAAACACGAGUGUGAAAAGUAAGACGGAAAAAAAAAGAAUUUACCAUUCAGAGACAUCCUGCUGUAAACGUGUCUCUUCCACCGUCUCUGCCUCUUCACUCUCCCGUUCGGUUUCCGACUCCGGCUCGUACAUAAAUGCCUGAAUUCCGUAAGGUUUGUCAUUUAGUGUGUGCGCCAUGACAGGGGGCUGUUUAUGUUUUGGAGUCUGUGUGCAUGCAGGCUCGCCCCCCAUUCCGGCUCUGUCCUUCCUGCGGCCAAUCAACGCGCGCCUCAUUACAUAUUAAUACAAUGCACAUCCGGACCGGUCAAAACCUCGCGCAUAAUCUCGCGUGAGAAAGUCGCGGUAUGAAAAAGUGUCAGAACAAGCUCUAUGUUUGAUUUUUUUUAAAAAGAAAAUUUCUAAUAAGUUUUAAGAAUUGAUCCAAAGCGAUCCAAGAGGGACUGGAUAUGUAAAAAACCAGGUGAUGACUCCUUUAAAGGAGAACACAAAGUUUUAUCAAAAAAAAUGGAAGCCACUUGGCGUUCUUCAGGCACACUCGCACCGAGACAAAGAGAGAUCUGAGAGCACCCUGUAAUUUUCUUUUUUGACAUAAAUUUGUAUGUUUCAAAAUGCAGUGUUGGGAGUAACGCACUACAAAAGUAAUGCAAUUACUGUAAUGCAUUACUUUUUGCUGUAACGCAGUAAUGUAAGGCAUUACAAAAAUAAAAUAUUUUACUCGGUACAAAUCCCAGUAACGCCUGUUACAAUGCAUUUUAAACCCGAAAUUAAAGGGAUAGUGUGUAACGAUUUAAGUAAUUUAUUAACCCAAAACGUCUUCGUUCAUAAGUAAGUCGUCAUUGGUGUACAAUUACCUCUGCCAACAAUCUGACUUAUCCUCCUGAGCGAAGAAUUACCUAUCUGAAUAUACAUAGCGCGGGCAAGCUCUAUGGAGGCCGCCAUGUCUUUCCGGUUUUAAAAAAACUAUGGACUGCCGAGAGGGACACAGAGCACUACGUGGUACUACGUAGUAGGGCUAACCGCGUUUUCGCUCAGAGCUAGCUUGACUGUGGAACUGAGAGGGAGCUCAGCGAAAGUGCUCAUCACUAACAAUAACUAGUGGCGAACUGUGGCCCUGGACCCUGGGCCUUCACUAGGACCAUCGGGCCACACUUGGCAAUAAACAAUCAAACAAAGCAAUACAAAUAAUAGCCAGAGCCCUACAUGUGACAUGCAAGGUCAGCACAUCCUCCUAAAACCGGGAAGAAAAACAUUUUUUUGUACAUAAUUUAAUUAAUCGUUGUAAUAAACAUAUCACUAAUGAUGAUUUUCUCAAAAAUGUUAUUGAUUUAUUGUUUAUAACCUGUCCCUUGUAGUGGACAUCAGGGUCAUUCUCUUCCAUAAAAAGAACAUUACAAGGCGAUUGGUAUGAUAAAAUAAUGCAUUUUCUUUUAAUUCUUUCUCAUUUUAUGAAUAUUGGAAACAAAUAAAAAACACAUUUUAAAAUCUGCUCUACUGCCUUGCUCUCUUCCUCCUCAUCCACUGACAGCUCAAUGUCUUACUCUCCCUAAAUAAUCUUAAACAAAAUCUUUCCUGCCUCUGUUUCCUGAAGUAUGGAAAAUGGUUGGAAAUGAGAAGAAGCAAGUCCCACUGUCCCCCCCAAAAAGUAUUUUGAAAAGCUUAACAUCAACAUACACUUCUAAUCUUCUAUCUUAAUAUAAUAUAGUUCAGACUCUCAUAAAUAAAGAACAACAUCCUCAGGAUAAACAGAAACAUUAUUUCUGUAUAAAUUUGACCACUUAACUCUCUUACUGGCAUAAAAUGUGUUGGUUGCAAUUCCCACCAUUUUGAAAAGACAGAAGAUGAGCUCUGUUGACCACACCCCUUUGUGUAUUACAUCACUAGAAAGCCAAGGAUGUGCUUUACACAGGACAGUAGGACUCAAAUAAACUGCAUGCAUGGUUUUUGAAAUAAAGGCCCCAGUGUCAUGUUAACCACAGUGGACAAAAAUUAAUUGCUGGGUCUUUAAAGGUUUCUUUACUCCAAAUGACUUCACAACACACAAAGGCCAUUCAGUAAAACAAGGCACAGCUGGCUAUAUGACAUCACUACAUCUAAUUAUGAUAUGUAAAACAAUUAGAUUAUUUUGUGAAAACAAAUGAUACAAGCAAAUCAUAUUGACUUAUUUUGCAUAUACAGUACCAGUCAAAAGUUUGGACACACCUUCUCAUUCAAUGUUCCUUCUUCAUUUUUUAUUAUUUUCUACAUUGUAGAUUAAUAUUGAAGACAUCAAAACUAUGAUGGAACACUUAUGGAAUUAUGUAGUAAACAAAAAAGUGUUAAACAAACCAGAAUAUGUUUUAUAUUUUAGUAGUCACCUGGAAUGGUUUUUAAUUAACAGGUGUGUCUUGCCAAGAGUUAAUUUGUGUUAUUUCUUGCCUUGUUAAUGUGUUUGAGACCAUCUGUUGUGUUGUGCAGAGGUACUAUUGGUACACAGUUCUAUACAGUGAAUAGCCUAUUUGACUACUAUUCUAAUCCAUAUUAUGGCAAGAACCACUCAACUAAGUAAAGAGAAAUGACAACUGAUGGUCUCAAACACAUUAAGAAGGACAAGGAAUUCCACAAAUUACUCUUGACAAGGCACAUCUGUUAAUUGAAAACCAUUCCAGGCGACGACCUCUUGAAGCUGAUUGAGAGAAUACCAAGAGUGUGCAAAGCUGUCAUCAAAGCAAAAGGUGGCUACUUUGAAGAAUCUAAAAAAUAAAACAUAUUCUGGUUUGUUAAACACUUUUUUGUUUACUACAUAAUUCCAUGUGUUCCUUCAUAGUUUUGACUUGUCUUCAAUACUAAUCUAUAAUGUUGAACAUAAUAAAAAUAAAGAAAAACCAUGGAAUGAGAAGGUGUUUCCAAACUUUUGACUGGUACUGUAUAAUUAACUGGAAUGAAAGUAAAAUGUCUAAAAUAUUCAUCUAUUCCCUUGAAAUAUAUUCCAUCUGAACACAUCAGCUAUAAGGGUAACUCUCAGUUGUUUAUCAGUAGUUUUAUCCAGUGGAGGUAUCGCUGCAGCUUGUACAAGACAUUACUGUUUUAUUCUGAAAAUAAGUACUCUGUGUGUGUGGUGACGAGGUUAAGGGUGCAAAUGGGUGGUAGCAGAUAGCUGAUUGACACCAGUCAAGUGUCUGUCAUAAACCACAUGGAGGGCCCUGAGGUGACACAGAGUUGCAGCAGUAGAGCUCUGUGUUCCAGGCUGUUUGUGGUGCAGCAUCACUGGGCCUCCUCCCCAGCCUCCUACCCCACCUGUGUCUGCCUCUUGCUCAACAUGUGGCGGCUGAGGUUCUGGUUUGGGCUCAGGUAGCUGUGCGAUGUGAAUCACAAGGCCGAUGUGCAGAUAAAACUUUCUUAGAACAGCCUGGCGCUCAGGGAUCAGGUUGAACUGCUUGAUCUCACACAGCAGAGGGUAGUAUCUGGACACAUGAGCUUUGACCUGAGAGUAGAGGUGAGAUGAGACAGAGAGAGAGAGUGAGACAGAAAAAAA